rnacentral:tRNA from 1 species
GUCCUUAUCGUCUAGAGGCCUAGGACGACAGCCUUUCACGUUGUAGACAUGGGUUCGAAUCCCAUUAGGGACACCA